rnacentral:rRNA from 1 species
UGAACGCUGGCGGCGUGCUUAACACAUGCACGUCGAACGGGAAACCUUUUAAUGAAGCUUCGGCAGAUUUAGCUGGUUUCUAGUGGCGGACGGGUGAGUAACGCGUGGGUAACCUGCCUUAUACAGGGGGAUAACAGUCAGAAAUGACUGCUAAUACCGCAUAAGCGCACAGGACCGCAUGGUCCGGUGUGAAAAACUCCGGUGGUAUAAGAUGGACCCGCGUUGGAUUAGCUUGUUGGUGGGGUAACGGCUCACCAAGGCGACGAUCCAUAGCCGGCCUGAGAGGGUGAACGGCCACAUUGGGACUGAGACACGGCCCAGACUCCUACGGGAGGCAGCAGUGGGGAAUAUUGCACAAUGGGGGAAACCCUGAUGCAGCGACGCCGCGUGAAGGAAGAAGUAUCUCGGGAUGUAAACUUCUAUCAGCAGGGAAGAUAGUGACGGUACCUGACUAAGAAGCCCCGGCUAACUACGUG